rnacentral:rRNA from 1 species
GUGAGGAAUAUUGCGCAAUGGAGGCAACUCUGACGCAGCCAUGCCGCGUGCAGGAAGAAGGCGCUACGCGUUGUAAACUGCUUUUAACCGGGAAGAAACCCCAGGACGUGUCCUGGGUUGACGGUACCGGAGGAAUAAGCACCGGCUAACUUCGUGGCAGCAGCCGCGGUAAUACGAAGGGUGCAAGCGUUAUCCGGAUUCAUUGGGUUUAAAGGGUGCGUAGGCGGAGCGUUAAGUCAGUGGUGAAAUCCUGCAGCUUAACUGUAGACUUGCCAUUGAUACUGGCGCUCUUGAGUGCGCUUGAAGUGGGCGGAAUGUGCCGUGUAGCGGUGAAAUGCUUAGAUAUGGCACAGAACACCAAUUGCGAAGGCAGCUCACUAAGGCGAUACUGACGCUGAGGCACGAAAGCGUGGGGAUCGAACAGGAUUAGAAACGGGUAGUCC